rnacentral:rRNA from 1 species
GUACACUCCUGCGGGAGGCAGCAGUGAGGAAUAUUGGACAAUGGGUGGAAGCCUGAUCCAGCCAUCCCGCGUGCAGGAAGACGGCCCUAUGGGUUGUAAACUGCUUUUAUCUGGGGAUAAACCUACUUACGUGUAAGUAGCUGAAGGUACCAGAAGAAUAAGCACCGGCUAACUCCGUGCCAGCAGCCGCGGUAAUACGGAGGGUGCAAGCGUUAUCCGGAUUUAUUGGGUUUAAAGGGUCCGUAGGCGGACUGAUAAGUCAGUGGUGAAAUCCGACAGCUUAACUGUCGAACUGCCAUUGAUACUGUUAGUCUUGAGUAAGGUUGAAGUGGCUGGAAUAAGUAGUGUAGCGGUGAAAUGCAUAGAUAUUACUUAGAACACCAAUUGCGAAGGCAGGUCACUAAGUCUUAACUGACGCUGAUGGACGAAAGCGUGGGGAGCGAACAGGAUUAGAAACCCCGGUAGUCCCA